rnacentral:lncRNA from 1 species
GCCGUGUACACUUGCGCUUAUCGAUGUCCCAAGUGUCAGCCACCGCAGCUAGCCACCCGGUCGUCUGGUCCGUCAGUCCAAGCCUCACGUCCGCCCUUCACCGCAACCGGUCCGUCAGCACGGCACGCCCUACUUGACCUUCACCCGACCGCUGCCACCGCAUUCAGACUCCACACCUGCACAUCACGAAGCCAAGAGACACCGUUUCGACACAUAACCCUGUGCCAGGAUAUCAGUAGAACCACCGAACCAACAACCCACCAAAAUGUUGGCAUGUUGACAAUCUCUCAUCACACAACAAGGGUACUCCACAAUGGUUAUGUAAAAACCAUGUGUUCGCAAUCUCCCCCUUGAUGAGUGCAUUGUCAACACCAACACAAAGCCAGAGAAAACCAACUCAAGUGUAAGCUCGAAACGGGUCAUUCACAAUGAGUAAAGCAAAGCCAACAACUUGGUCCCCAAAGACAUGGGCAACGGCUCGACACAACCAAGUAAAACACAGCUAGCCCUCAAGAAGAGGCAAACAGGCUCAACACCGCUAGCAAAACUUGAAAAGCCAGAAAACAACUAGACCCUCCAGAAGAGGCAAAGGCUCAACACAUCUAGCAAAAGCAACUCAAAUGCAACUCCCCCUGAGCAAAUGCAAGGCUCAACACCGCUAGCAAAACUUGAAAAGCCAGAAAACAACUAGACCCUCCAGAAGAGGCAAAGGCUCAACACAUCUAGCAAAAGCAACUCAAAUGCAACUCCCCCUGAGCAAAUGCAAUCUCUCUCAAAUGAAUGCAUGUCUCUCUUUUUGUGUGUAACUUUCUCCCCCUUGUUGACACAUGCACUUAUCAAGAUUUGCCCAAAGGAGUGCAACUCCCCCUCAAAACAUGCUAUGAAUGCAAGAAAUGCACAUAUACAAAAGCUUCAGGAGUAUAGCAAUCAGAUUGAAAAGAUGCUCUAGGUGGUGCUGUCAUGUGUGUAUAGCAAUAAGUACAAGUGCUAGCAAAUGCUCAAACUGAUCAAGUGAAAUGAAAUAUGACAUUUAAGCAUUUUUGAUCAAUUUUAAGCAAUUGUAAGAAGGAGUUCACCACUGAAAGUAGCACAUAGCAGGUAUAAGCAGGAAAUCAACCUAGUGCUAACAAGUGUAUACAAGGUGAACUACCCCAAGCAGCGUUCAUACAUCAUGUCAAAGACUAACUUUAGACUUGUGUUUUCAUCAAAUUUUCAUUUUAUCGGAGUUUGCAGCAUAUCACAAGGUUUAGUCAAAAACAUGUGUGAGUGUGAGAGGUUAUCUGUACCAUCAAACCAACUUAUCGACCAUGCCAAGCCUAUGUCAAAGACAAUCGCAAGCUUAAGACAAUGAUCUCGGCAUCCACUACAAGGCUCAAGUUCAUCCAUAAGUGCAAUUGGAAGCAGUCUCGAUACCUUGACGUAGGACAGUACAGACCCAUCUCGAUCUUUUCUUUUCACUUAGCUUGAUUUUCAAUUUUUAGCACAAGAAUUUACAAGUUGUCAAAGCAAGUGUAUAACUCAAAGCAUGAGACAUAGCAACCUAGCAUAUAAAUGAUAGCUCAAGUGAUCUCAACACAUCCUACACAUGCUAGUUGCCAAUCACAAUGGUGAACAAUUUUCAGGUUUCAACAAGUUUAUGUCAAGUUCACAUAUUAUAAAACAUGCUUAGCUCAUAACAUGCAUCAAGUGAUCAAAAAGAGCCUAAGCGACAAGCACCAUCAUGUACAUACAAGACAUAUCACAAAGAGCAUAAUCUCAAUCUAACAACUAUAAUCAUGAAGCUCAAAAUGCUCUAAUAUACAUGAUGAGAUGAAAUGCAAUGCAAUAUGAUACAAAAAUAAAAUAAAAGCAAAACUAAAGGAAAACAAAACUAGUGUACAAAAAACCAAAGUUCCCCUCAACUAAAAAGGGAAACAAACUCCAAGCUCCCCUCGCAAGCGAGCAAACUGGGCUUGGUCAAGGGGUUUGGUAAAGAUGUCUGCAAGCUGAUUUUGGGUAUCAACAUGGUGUAGGUCAAUAUCUCCUUUCUCAUAGUGGUCACGCAGGAAGUGAAAGCGGACAUCUAUAUGCUUGGUUUUUGAGUGGAGAACUGGGUUUUUAGCAACGCUUAUAGCACUGGUGCUAUCACAAAACGGAGGCACUCGCCUAAACUCUAACCCAAAAUCUCUCAAAGUAGCUAUCAUCCAAAGCAACUGGGAGCAGCAAGCAGCAGCAGCAACAUACUCGGCUUCUGUGGUGGAUUGGGCAACUGAGGAUUGCUUGCGAGAGGACCAAGACACAAGAGAAGUCCCAAGAAACUGGCAAGUCCCCGACGUGGACUUACGCUCAACACGGCAGCCGGCAUAAUCCGCAUCAGAAUAGCCGCAAAGAGAAAGAGAGGAGGAAGCUGAAAACCAAAGACCAAACUCAGGUGUGAAACGAAGGUACCUCAAGAUCCGCUUGACGGCUUGACGAUGAGAUGUGCGCGGCGAAGACUGAAAGCGCGCACACAAGCAGACCGCGAACUGGAUGUCCGGUCUUGUCGCCGUCAGGUACAGUAGUGACCCGAUCAUGCUUCGGUACUCCUUCUGGUCCACAGCUUCUCCUUCUUCAUCUGCAUCUAGGGCCGUCGUGGUCGACAUGGGCAUCGAGAGAGGCUUGGCCUCGCCCAUAUCGAAUUUCUUGAGUACGUCCUUGGUGUACUUGCCUUGGUGCACAAACGUCCCUUCUCUAGUUUGCUUGAUUUGCAAACCAAGAAAGAACGUUAACUCACCCAUCAUGCUCAUCUCAAAUUCCCUGCUCAUAGUUUCUGCAAACUUGCCAACAAGUGCAUGAGAAGAGCCACCGAAAAUGAUAUCAUCCACGUAUAUCUGAACCAAAAGAGUGUCAGUGCCUUGCUUGAGGAGAAACAAAGUUUUAUCAACCGAACCCAUUUUAAAACCCUUUGCAAGCAAGAAGGUUUUCAAACGCUCAUACCAGGCUCUCGGGGCUUGUUUUAGACCAUACAAGGCUUUGUGGAGUUUAAAAACAUGGUUAGGAAACUUAGGAUUUUCAAAGCCAGGGGGUUGUCUCACAUAAACCUCUUCCUCUAUAUACCCAUUCAAGAAAGCACUCUUCACAUCCAUCUGAUACAGCUUGAACCCUUUUGAAGCUGCAAAAGCUAAAAGGAUCCUAAUGGCUUCUAAACGGGCAACAGG